rnacentral:ncRNA from 2 species
ACGAUAUGACAGGUGUGCUCUUAUCCAGGAGCUGAGAUUAGCCUUUGUACCUGAUCUAGGUUGUACUAGCGUAGGGAGUCAUUCAUGACCGACU